GAUGAAGAACGCAGCGAAAUGCGAUAAGUAAUGUGAAUUGCAGAAUUCAGUGAAUCAUCGAAUCUUUGAACGCACAUUGCGCCCGCCAGUAUUCUGGCGGGCAUGCCUGUCCGAGCGUCAUUUCAACCAUCAAGCCCCGGGCUUGUGUUGGGGACCUGCGUCCGACGCAGGCCCUGAAAACCAGUGGCGGGCCCGCUGUCCACACCGAGCGUAGUAACUAACCUCGCUAUGGAGUGGCGCGGGCGCCUGCCGUAAAACCCCCAAUUUUUACAAGGUUGACCUCGGAUCAGGUAGGAAUACCCGCUGAACUUAAGCAUAUCAAUAAGCGGAGGA
rnacentral:misc_RNA from 1 species